CUGACAUUGGUGCUACGUGGGCGAUCCAUGUCUCCAAUAAUCUGACGACCCAGAUUCAAUCCCACAUGUGUGAACGACUCAGAUGCAUUCCCUCCUUAGGCGGGAUCGGACAGACGAAAUCAAUCUCAAUGAACGGUCCAGAUUCUCCCACACAAUUGGUCUAAACAGACAACAAUCAGAUGACUCUUCUCACGCCACAUCGACGCGAAUGGACGACCCAUAUUGAUAUAGGAUAAGUAUAUAAACAUCGCGUCGUAAGGAAACCCUAACCCUAGUCGCACCUGCCCUCGCUGGAGAAGAAGAACAAGCCGUCGGAGAAGGAGACCGACCCCC
rnacentral:lncRNA from 1 species